CCGAAUUCGUCGACAACAGAGUUUGAUCAUGGCUCAGAUUGAACGCUGGCGGCAGGCCUAACACAUGCAAGUCGAACGGUAACAGGAAGAAGCUUGCUUCUUUGCUGACGAGUGGCGGACGGGUGAGUAAUGUCUGGGAAACUGCCUGAUGGAGGGGGAUAACUACUGGAAACGGUAGCUAAUACCGCAUAACGUCGCAAGACCAAAGAGGGGGACCUUCGGGCCUCUUGCCAUCGGAUGUGCCCAGAUGGGAUUAGCUAGUAGGUGGGGUAACGGCUCACCUAGGCGACGAUCCCUAGCUGGUCUGAGAGGAUGACCAGCCACACUGGAACUGAGACACGGUCCAGACUCCUACGGGAGGCAGCAGUGGGGAAUAUUGCACAAUGGGCGCAAGCCUGAUGCAGCCAUGCCGCGUGUAUGAAGAAGGCCUUCGGGUUGUAAAGUACUUUCAGCGGGGAGGAAGGGAGUAAAGUUAAUACCUUUGCUCAUUGACGUUACCCGCAGAAGAAGCACCGGCUAACUCCGUGCCAGCAGCCGCGGUAAUACGGAGGGUGCAAGCGUUAAUCGGAAUUACUGGGCGUAAAGCGCACGCAGGCGGUUUGUUAAGUCAGAUGUGAAAUCCCCGGGCUCAACCUGGGAACUGCAUCUGAUACUGGCAAGCUUGAGUCUCGUAGAGGGGGGUAGAAUUCCAGGUGUAGCGGUGAAAUGCGUAGAGAUCUGGAGGAAUACCAGUGGCGAAGGCGGCCCCCUGGACGAAGACUGACGCUCAGGUGCGAAAGCGUGGGGAGCAAACAGGAUUAGAUACCCUGGUAGUCCACGCCGUAAACGAUGUCGACUUGGAGGUUGUGCCCUUGAGGCGUGGCUUCCGGAGCUAACGCGUUAAGUCGACCGCCUGGGGAGUACGGCCGCAAGGUUAAAACUCAAAUGAAUUGACGGGGGCCCGCACAAGCGGUGGAGCAUGUGGUUUAAUUCGAUGCAACGCGAAGAACCUUACCUGGUCUUGACAUCCACGGAAGUUUUCAGAGAUGAGAAUGUGCCUUCGGGAACCGUGAGACAGGUGCUGCAUGGCUGUCGUCAGCUCGUGUUGUGAAAUGUUGGGUUAAGUCCCGCAACGAGCGCAACCCUUAUCCUUUGUUGCCAGCGGUCCGGCCGGGAACUCAAAGGAGACUGCCAGUGAUAAACUGGAGGAAGGUGGGGAUGACGUCAAGUCAUCAUGGCCCUUACGACCAGGGCUACACACGUGCUACAAUGGCGCAUACAAAGAGAAGCGACCUCGCGAGAGCAAGCGGACCUCAUAAAGUGCGUCGUAGUCCGGAUUGGAGUCUGCAACUCGACUCCAUGAAGUCGGAAUCGCUAGUAAUCGUGGAUCAGAAUGCCACGGUGAAUACGUUCCCGGGCCUUGUACACACCGCCCGUCACACCAUGGGAGUGGGUUGCAAAAGAAGUAGGUAGCUUAACCUUCGGGAGGGCGCUUACCACUUUGUGAUUCAUGACUGGGGUGAAGUCGUAACAAGGUAACCGUAAGCUUGGAUCCCGGG
rnacentral:rRNA from 1 species